rnacentral:rRNA from 1 species
AUGGGUUUCCCCUUGACCCCGUUCCAGACGGAGAAGGAGGAGGCGCCGAUCCUCAAGGUCAAGGUGAAGAAGGCCAAGCCGGAGGUCAAGGCCAAGGUGGAGUUGAGGACCCUCACCACGGCGGAGGAGGAGGCGCUCAUCAAGUUCGUGGCGCUGCUGGAGAAGGAGGAGGACUUCCUCGACGCCAAGGCGGAGAAGGAGGCGGGGUGUGGCUCCAAGAGGAAGCCGGAGUUGGAGCGGGACGAGGAGGGGGCAGCGUUCGUGGCGUGGAUCGAGUCCACGAAGCCACCGACAGACCAAGUGGAAUACUCGGAUGGGGAUGUGUCGGACGGCUACGACGACGCGGAAGCCAACAUCGGCAGGGUCAUGUCGCGGUAUGAGCGCCACGUUCAGGCCAACAACGCUCGCUGGCCUUUCUUAAUUGCUGGGGCCCAAAUCAAAUCCCCUGAAGAUGCUGAGCAAUGA